GCAGUGCGCAUUCCCGCCGCCUCACGGCCCCGGUGCGGCCCCGGUGCGGCCCAGCCCGGCCCGGUUCGGCCCGGCCCGGCCCGGGGAGGCGGCGGGGAGCGGCGGGGAGCAGCCGGGAGCGGCGCGGAGCCGAGCGGAGCCGCUGGGUUGCGGUUUCCCGGAGCUCGUACACCAAGUGAUAUCACCCAGUGUUUUUUGGCCAGGGGUGGGGUUCCAAGCGGCUACAAACGCUGCUGCUCCCUGCGUUGCUCUUCCCUCUUCUGUUUCCCCCAAAUCACCGUUUGUCUUGGGGCUGAGCUCAGCAGUCCUGCCAUACCCACGCUGACACAGAGGAGCUCCACGGCUUGGUGUGAACCAGGCAGAACGCUGGAACGUUUUCCCAGCGUUUCAGGUUUAAAGGUAAAUAAAAGGCUUUCUGCUUGCUUUGCCAUCAGGUUAAUUACCGUGUAAGGAGAGGUUUUUAAAGGGGAGUUUUAGGCAGCAGUGUCUGUGUUUGUUCUGUGUCUGGGCAACUCCACGUGGGGUUUGCAGAGCUCCGUGUGCCUCAGAGCUGCUGUGGGUGUGCAGGGAGCAGCCUGCGGGGUUCGGGGUGCUCGGAAAUUUGAGGUGGAAAGUAAAAAUUCCCUAAAGGCCAGUCAAUUUCUGCUGUGAAUAGUCAAUAAGGGUGCUGAAAUGACCUUUUUUGGCUUUUUUUAAGAACUACUUGCUGAAAACCUUGCUCAGAUUUAUUUAUUUAGUUAUGUGGAAGGCUGGGGCGGACUCUGGGAAGGUUGCAGGGAGCUGUGCUGUGCGUGCUGCUUUUUGCCUUCCCAGGUGCUCUUUCAUUUGUGCUUUUUCUCCCCUCUGAGUAAAUUUGUGAGUAAAUUUGUGCUUUUUCUCUCUCUGGGUGCCUGCAGAGCUCCUGUCCUGGGUCCUGAGCAGCUCGUGAGCCCUCCCUGUUCUGUAAGCCCCUGGGGAGCGGGUCCAGGCAGCCUCACAGCGCGUGCUCCAGCAGGAGGAUCUGCGUGGGGAGGAUUUUGGGGUGCUCCCCGCAGCUCCGUGGGGCUGUGA
rnacentral:lncRNA from 1 species